UACGUAGGAGGCGAGCGUUGUCCGGAAUUACUGGGCGUAAAGAGCGCGUAGGCGGCACUGUACGACAUGUGUGAAAGCCCCCGGCUCAACUGGGGAGAGUCAUGUGUAACGGCAGAGCUACGAGUGCAGGAGAGGGAAGUGGAACUCCGGGAGUAGCGGUGAAAUGCGUAGAUACCCGGAGGAACAUCAGUGGCGAAGGCGGCUUCCUGGUCUGCGACUGACGCUGUGGCACGAAAGCGUGGGGAGCAAACAG
rnacentral:rRNA from 1 species